rnacentral:rRNA from 1 species
AUACAGAGGGUGCGAGCGUUAAUCGGAAUUACUGGGCGUAAAGCGCGCGUAGGCGGUCUAUUAAGUCAGAUGUGAAAUCCCAGGGCUCAACCUUGGAACUGCAUCUGAUACUGGUAGACUAGAGUUUUGGAGAGGGAAGUAGAAUUUCAGGUGUAGCGGUGAAAUGCAUAGAGAUCUGAAGGAAUACCAGUGGCGAGGGCGACUUCCUGGCCAAAAACUGACGCUGAGGUGCGAAAGCGUGGGUAGCAAACGGGAUUAGAUACCCCAGUAGUCC